rnacentral:rRNA from 1 species
UACGGGGGGGGCAAGCGUUGUUCGGAAUUACUGGGCGUAAAGGGCCAGUAGGCGGCCAACUAAGUCGGAUGUGAAAUCCCCAGGCUUAACCUGGGAUCUGCAUCCGAUACUGGAUGGCUUGAAUUCGGGAGAGGGAUGCAGAAUUCCAGGUGUAGCGGUGAAAUGCGUAGAUAUCUGGAGGAAUACCGGUGGCGAAGGCGGCAUCCUGGACCGACAUUGACGCUGAACGGCGAAAGCUAGGGGAGCAUACGGG